GAUAAACGCUGGCGGCGCACAUAAGACAUGCAAGUCGAACGAACUUAAUCAGAAUGUUUACAUUUUGAAGCGGUUAGUGGCGGACUGGUGAGUAAAGCGUAAGGAACCUGCCUUUUAGAGGGGAAUAACAAUGAGAAAUCAUUGCUAAUACCGCAUAUGCCAUAAAUGUCGCAUGACAAAAGUGGGAAAGGAGCAAUCCGCUAAAAGAUGGCCUUACGUCUGAUUAGAUAGUUGGUGAGGUAACGGCCCACCAAGGCGACGAUCAGUAGCCGGACUGAGAGGUUGACCGGCCACAUUGGGACUGAGAUACGGCCCAG
rnacentral:rRNA from 1 species